rnacentral:rRNA from 1 species
UUGAAAUACCACCCUUUAAUGUUUGAUGUUCUAACGUGGAUCCGUAAUCCGGGUUGCGGACAGUGUCUGGUGGGUAGUUUGACUGGGGCGGUCUCCUCCUAAAGAGUAACGGAGGAGCACGAAGGUUGGCUAAUCCUGGUCGGACAUCAGGAGGUUAGUGCAAUGGCAUAAGCCAGCUUGACUGCGAGCGUGACGGCGCGAGCAGGUGCGAAAGCAGGUCAUAGUGAUCCGGUGGUUCUGAAUGGAAGGGCCAUCGCUCAACGGAUAAAAGGUACUCCGGGGAUAACAGGCUGAUACCGCCCAAGAGUUCAUAUCGACGGCGGUGUUUGGCACCUCGAUGUCGGCUCAUCACAUCCUGGGGCUGAAGUAGGUCCCAAGGGUAUGGCUGUUCGCCAUUUAAAGUGGUACGCGAGCUGGGUUUAGAACGUCGUGAGACAGUUCGGUCCCUAUCUGCCGUGGGCGCUGGAGAACUGAGGGGGGCUGCUCCUAGUACGAGAGGACCGGAGUGGACGCAUCACUGGUGUUCGGGUUGUCAUGCCAAUGGCACUGCCCGGUAGCUAAAUGCGGAAGAGAUAAGUGCUGAAAGCAUCUAAGCACGAAACUUGCCCCGAGAUGAGUUCUCCCUGAGACUUAGAGUCUCCUGAAGGAACGUUGAAGACGACGACGUUGAUAGGCCGGGUGUGUAAGCGCAGCGAUGCGUUGAGCUAACCGGUACUAAUGAACCGUGAGGCUUAACCUU